CAUGUACUCCCUCCGUUCAGAAUUACUUGUUGCAAAAAUGGAUGUAUCUAGAUGUAUUUUAGUUCUAGAUACAUCCAUAUUCGAGACAAGUAAUUCCAAACGGAGGGAGUACUCA
rnacentral:pre_miRNA from 1 species